UGUACGGCGGAGGAGUGGAGGGGAGAGAGCGGAGGCUUUGGAGGAAGCCGUCCCCCGUCAGCCGUCGGUGAGCAGCGGCCACACAUCUCAGCUAUGGAGCGCGUGCAGCUGCCAGGGUGGCUAGAGACCGAAAGCAGCGAGAGGAAGGAGAGAGGGUGGUACAGAGAGGAGAUCGGCGGAGCUCUCCCGUCUAGUUCGUCAGUAGCAAGCGCUCGUCGGGGUGCCAGAACUAGUCACUGUCACUGGCCAGCGGAAGGUAUGGCCAGCGUUCCCCCCAUAUCCCCGUGCUCCACCCCCCAGAGUUGGCUUGCUCAGUCUUGUUUCAUUAUUUUUCAGCCCAUUUGUAUUAAUUUGUUCGUGCCACGGGGUCACCAUGAUUAGAUUCACAGGGCAUUUUUGCUCUGCUGUACCACGAAAUCACGCGGUAGUACAUAGUUCCGUCUCCUGAUUUUCCACCGCACUAGUGCCCUAACCCCUCAGAUACUUGGCCAUGUCACAUUUUUCAUAUAUACAUCCAGUGUUAUGACCGGUACAACGUACCAACGGAGGAGGGCCAAUGGGCAGGGUUAAUUACGGGCUUAGCCCAAGUUAUCUUACCUAUCUUAGAAGUCCAAUUUAUAUUAGAGUCCAANCCGCCACCACCGCCUUCCCCGCCACCUCACAGCAGCAGCCGCCGCCGCACCACUCACCGCCGCCGGCCACCUCAGGCCCGGCCGCCUCCGGUCCCGCGGCCCUGGCGGCCGAACCCGUACCCGUCCUCUCCCCGGCGGAGAUGUCCUCGGCGAUCCGCGACCUCAACCUGGCGGUCUCGAACCUCCGGACUCUCCUCCAGGCUCCGUACGCAACCCCGCCACCACCGCCUCUCCGCCGGCAGCGCCCUUCGCGCCACCGCCCCCGGCGACUGUCGUGCCCCAGGGCCUGCCGAUCACCCAGGUCUGGUGGCCGCCGUCGCCGUCCCCGCUACCGACGUGGAUGGACACGCCGACCUACANNNNNNNNNNNNNNNNNNNNNNNNNNNNNNNNNNNNNNNNNNNNNNNNNNNNNNNNNNNNNNNNNNNNNNNNNNNNNNNNNNNNNNNNNNNNNNNNNNNNNNNNNNNNNNNNNNNNNNNNNNNNNNNNNNNNNNNNNNNNNNNNNNNNNNNNNNNNNNNNNNNNGCCGACGGUGUUGCCGCCACCCGCCCCACCUUCGGGGGGUUCGGCGGGUACACUGAUCCGUACGCCGGGAGCUCCGUGGUGCCGCAACACUCUCCUUCCGCCGCGCUGGGCCGUCACGAGGGCACCUACGCGGCCUCGCCACACGUGCAGCAGCCACCCCGCUUCACCAAGCUGGAGUUCGCCACCUACGACGGCACCGUCGACCCCCUGAACUGGCUCAAUCAGUGCGACCAGUUUUUCAGGGGGCAGCGGACCAUGGCGUCCGACCGCAUGUGGAUCGCCUCCUACCACCUCCGUGGCGCCGCCCAGACUUGGUACUACGCCCUCGAGCAGGACGAGGGCGGGAUGCCUUCAUGGGAGCGCUUUCGCGACCUGUGUCUCCUCCGGUUCGGCCCCCCAUACGUGGGAGCCGCUUGGCCGAGCUCGGUCGCCUUCCCUUCACCACCUCGGUGCAGGACUUCGCCGACCGCUUCCAGACGUUGGCCUGCCAUGCGCCUGACGUCACGGCUCGCCAACGCGCCGAGCUCUUCGUCGGCGGCCUUCCCGACCACAUCCGCAUCGACGUCGAGAUGCGCGACCCCCAGGACCUGCAGACGGCCAUGUAUUACGCACGCGCGUACGAGCAGCGCGCCAACGCCCUGCAACAGGCGUUCCCGGGCCGCGGCACGCGUUCCCCGACCCGCCCCGCCCCGGGGGCCGCCACCCCGACACGCCCCGCCCUGCCGGCCGCUACGGCGGCUGCCCCCGCACCGACACGCACCUUCCGGCGCUUGACGUCGGCCGAGCAGCUCGAGCGGCGCCGCAAGGGCCUGUGCUUCAACUGCGACGAGCCGUAUGCGCCGGGUCAUACGUGCGCCCGCCUGUUCUACUUGGAGACCGUCGACGACGCGGAGGUGGAGGCCCUCACCGCGGAGCUCGACGCCACCACACUCUCCGAGGCCGGCGUCACGACCUACGGGCCGGUCGACGCGACCGCCUUCGUCGUCUCCCUUCAUGCCAUGGCUGGCAUCAAGACGGCAAAGACGAUGCUGCUUCCGGUGACGAUCAACGGGGAGCGUCUAACCGCGCUCGUGGACACGGGUUCGACGCACAAUUUCCUGUCCAGGGACGCCAUGCGCCGCCUCGCACUCCAACCGGCGGGCUCGGAGAAGUUCAGCGUCACCGUCGCCAACGGGGACCGCCUUGCUUGCCAGGGGGUGGCGCGGCAGGUUCCCGUCCUCAUCGGCGACGAGCCAUUCUCCAUCGACUGCGUCGGCAUCGACCUGGGCUGCUACGACUUCAUCCUUGGCAUCGACUUCCUGUCCACUCUCGGCCCCAUCCUUUGGGACCUCGAUGUGCUGUCCCUCAUCUUCUGGCGCGAGGGCGGCCGUCGCGUUCAGUGGACAGGCAUCGGCGGCUCCGGCGCCUUGACUCCACAGCUCCAGUUGAUGGCGUCCGCACUGGACGAGGCGCAUCCCCUCCUGGCCGACCUCCUGCAGCAGCACAGCGACAUCUUCGACGAGCCACAGGGCCUCCCUCCCGUGCGGCCCUGUGACCACCGCAUCCACCUGCUGCCGGACACGGCACCUGUAGCCGUGCGUCCGUACCGGUACCCUCAGCUGCAGAAAGACGAGCUCGAGCGUCAGGUGGCGGUCAUGCUCGCGCAGGGCAUCAUCCGGAUUUCGACAUCGCCGUUCUCCGCCCCGGUGCUCCUUGUGCGCAAGUCCGACGGCACAUGGCGCUUCUGCAUCGACUACCGCGCCCUCAACGCCCUGACGUCCAAGGACAAGUUCCCCAUCCCCGUCGUGGAUGAGCUCUUGGACGAGCUACACGGAGCGCGCUUCUUCACCAAGCUCGACCUUCGCUCGGGCUACCAUCAGGUGCACAUGCACCCUGACGACAUCGAGAAGACGGCGUUCCGCACUCACCAUGGCCACUUCGAGUUCCUGGUGAUGCCGUUCGGCCUCUCCAACGCGCCGGCGACCUUCCAGGCCCUGAUGAACGACGUGCUCAGCCCAUACUUGCGCCGCUUUGUGCUUGUUUUCUUUGAUGACAUUCUCAUCUACAGUGCAUCUUGGGCAGAGCAUCUACAACAUGUGGCCAUCAUCUUCAACGAGCUUCGAGCGCAUCGUCUUCACCUCAAGCGCUCGAAGUGCUCGUUCGGCACGACCUCCGUCGCGUACCUGGGGCACGUCAUCUCGGCGGACGGGGUAGCGAUGGACGCGGACAAGGUCGCCGCCGUCGCCGCGUGGCCGAUCCCGCGGUCACCGCGGGCGCUCCGCGGCUUCUUGGGCCUCGCCGGCUACUACCGGAAGUACAUCCGGGACUUCGGCCUCAUCGCUGCGCCACUGACGCGUCUCCUUCGACGCGACGCCUUCUCCUGGGACGAGGAGGCGACUACGGCAUUCGAGGCUCUCCAGCAGGGGCUCACGACGGGACCCGUCCUCCAGAUGCCGGACUUUGAUAUGCUGUUCAUCGUGGACUGCGACGCCUUUGGCAUCGGCUUCGGCGCCGUCCUUCACCAGGGUGAGGGACCGCUCGCCUUCUUCAGCCGCCCCUUCGCCGCUCGCCAUCACAAGCUCGCGGCCUACGAGCGCGAGCUUAUUGGGCUGGUUCAGGCGGUGCGCCACUGGCGGCCUUAUCUUUGGGGCCGGUCAUUCCGUGUGCGCACGGACCACUACAGCCUCAAGUUCUUGCUGGACCAGCGCCUCUCCACAGUUCCGCAACACCAGUGGAUCAGCAAGCUCUUUGGCUUCGACUUCACUGUUGAGUACCGCCCCGGCCGUCUCAACACGGUCGCCGACGCCUUGUCCCGCCGCGACACUGAGGAUGUCGCGGACGACGUCGCCAUGGCUGGCACUAUCAUGUGCAUUCGCUCCGGGCCAUCUUUCGCCUUCAUCAACGACAUUCGCCGGGCAACUUCGACGGCCGUGGACGCCCAGGGCCUGCGCCAGCGCCUUGACGCCGGCGAGCUGGACGCGCCCUGGCGCUUGGAUGAGGGGCUACUCCUACAUGGCCGCCGCAUCUUCGUGCCCGACCAUGGCGACCUGCGCCACCAGGUCCUGACCUUGGCGCACUCUGCAGGGCACGAGGGCGUGCAGAAGACUCUCCAUCGUCUCCGUGCUGAUUUUUACAUCCCCGGUGAUGGCGCGAUGGUCCGCGACUGGGUGCGGUCGUGCGUGACGUGCCAGCGGAACAAGACGGAGACACUACGACCCGCGGGUCUACUGCAGCCGCUGGACGUACCCUCCCAGGUGUGGGCGGAUAUUUCCAUGGACUUCAUCGAGGGCCUUCCCAAGGUGGGCGGCAAAUCCGUCAUCCUCACGGUGGUUGACCGCUUCUCCAAGUACGCGCACUUCAUCGCCCUGGGUCAUCCAUAUACAGCCGCCUCCGUGGCGCGGGCCUUCUUCGACGGCAUCGUCCGCCUCCACGGUUUUCCGUCGUCCAUCGUCAGCGAUCGUGAUCCCGUGUUCACGAGACAUGUCUGGCGGGAUCUCUUUCGACUGGCGGGCGUGAAGCUCCGCAUGAGCACGGCGUUCCACCCUCAGACAGACGGCCAAUCCGAGGUGGUCAACAAGGUGAUCGCCAUGUACCUGCGCUGUGUUACUGGUGAUCGUCCACGAGCUUGGGUGGACUGGUUGGCGUGGGCGGAGUACUGCUACAACACCUCCUAUCACUCCGCCCUGCGCACCACGCCUUUCGAGGUGGUCUACAGGUGCCCACCUCCGGCGAUGCUCCCUUACGAGCCUGGGACGGCUCGGUCCGAGACGGCGGGCGACUUACUCCGCACCCGCGACGACAUUCUGGCUGAGGCACGCCAGCGUCUUCUCCAAUCACAGCAGCUGGCUCGGAAGUACUACGAUGCUCAUCAUCGCGAGGCAGAGUUCGCGGUGGGCGAUUGGGUGUGGCUGCGCCUCCUCCACAGGACCACGCAGUCUCUGGACCCGUGCUCCAAGCGCAAAUUCGGACCUCGCUACGCCGGUCCCUUUCGUGUGCUGGAGCGUGUCGGCACACUCGCAUACCGCUUGGAGCUGCCAGCUGGUUCUCGCCUCCACGACGUCUUCCAUGUCGGCUUACUGAAGGCCUACCGCGGGGACCCUCCUGCAGCGACACCGGCCCUUCCUCCUACUUCGGAUGGCCGCCUCCUUCCAGCUUCCGCACAGGUGGCGAAGGUGCUACAGGCGCAGCAACGUCGUGGCGUCUGGCAUGUCUUGGUACAAUGGACCGGCCUGCCAGAGGAGGAAGCGACUUGGGAGAAGCUCGACGAUUUCCGCCAGCAGUUUCCAGAUGUUCAGCUCGAGGACGAGCUGUUUGAGAAGGCGGGGAGAGAUGUUAUGAUCGGUACAACGUACCAACGGAGGAGGCCCAAUGGGCAGGGUUUAUUACGGGCUUAGCCCAAGUUAUCUUACCUAUCUUAGAAGUCCAAGUUAUAUUAGAGUCCAAGUUAGAGUCCAAGUUAUCUAGGGUUUAGUGGAGGCUGUCCUCCUUUAUAAACACAUGUACCCCUUCGAUAUUAAUCAGACAAUAAACAGUAUAUUCUGUUGUCGUCUCCCUCAGGAGACGAGAGCCCCAAACCCUAGCCGCCGCCUCUCUCUCUCUCUCUCACGCCGCGACGGCGCCCAACCGCCGGCGCCGGCGUCCCCAACCUCGCAGCCCGCACUUCCACCCCUACAACCUACGUCCGAGACCUGGUAGAACCCUAGCCUCUACCAUCCAGACACUGUUUUGCAAAAGAUUUGGAGUGUUGUCAAACUUGAUAAAUCGAAAGGAGGUUCCCCUGGGUGGGCUUGUUCAGUAUGUGUUGUCAUAUUUUUAUGCGAUUUUUCUCAGUUUUUUGUAUGCCAAUUCCAUUUGUUAUGAUGGAGCGGUCAGGUCAUUCCGUCAGAAUAUGGAUGAAGAGAUUUCUAGUUCAGUGAGCUCAUAUUUAUAGGAUGUUUUUGCCAGGAAUGGAUGUGUGUAGCAGGUCACUAUUUUUUCCAGGGUGGUGGGAUGUGUGUUUUUGCGGGUGUGUGAAGUGCAGCAAAAAUAUUAAUCGAGUGUUCUUACUGUUUUGGCACUUCUUAUAUUUUGGAAUCGGAAACAGGUCAUAUGCUUUUCUAGCUGACUAAUUUGACACUUUUGAAGUAGAAUCCUGACAUUUUAUUGUCCUCCUGUGUGCAAUUUUAUCUGUUGUCUUGUCAUUCUUCAUUGAUCUGCCUUGUUCUUCUCCAUCUUGUCAUUUAUAGAGGAUGGCAAAGUCUUCACUUAAUUUUCUUUGCCAUUCAUCAUUUCUACCUUUUCAUUUCUUCAGUAUUCAAUCUCUUUUUCUAGUCUGGGUUAGUGUAGCUUUUUCAUCUAAUAAUGAUAGUAGAUUAGUCUCUCAUUUGUCCCACUUAUUUUCAGUACUCAUUCCUAAGUAUUCAUUGUUCAUUAUUUUUGUUCCUCGGUCUGUAAGCUCGCCUUCUCAGUCUUAUAUUAGUUUUCGUAAUAGUAUCAGUCCUCAUUUUAUCAUAUUCAGUUAUCAUUUGUAUCUUUCUUCAGUCAUAUCUCUCAUAAGUCUUGUCUUUUAGUAGAUGAUUAUUUCUGUUGUCAACCUUAUGUUUUGUAAGUCCUAAGUUUUUAGUUUUCAGUUUUCUGUUUUCUGCAAUGGUUUUUUGCUAGAUUAUUUUCAGUUUUUAGUCAUCACUAUUCCUAAGUAUAAGUUGUAGUUCUCUUCAGCUAUAUGUUUAGUGUUUAGUUAUUUUGUCAGUGUUUGUUCAGUAUCUUAAGUGUCUCAUUUUAGUUCUCUUCAGUUAUUUGGUCAGUGUUUGUUCUUGUCUAUCAGUUUUAAGUUAAGUCAUUUAUUAUUCUAACUAGUUAAAUCAUUAUUUUUGUUCCUCGGUCUGUAAGCUUGCCUUCUCAGUCUUAUAUUAGUUUUCGUAAUAGAAUCAGUCCUCAUUUUAUCAUAUUCAGUUAUCAUUUGCAUCUUUCUUAAGUCAUACCUCUCAUAAGUCUUGUCUUUUAGUAGAUGGUUAUUUCUGUUGUCAACCUUAUGUUCCUGUAAGUGCUAAGAUUUUAGUCUUCAUUUUUUUUAACGCUUUUUUGCUAGAUUAUUUUCAAUUUUUAGUUAUCAGUAUUCCUAAGUAUCAGUUUUAGUUCUCUUCAGCUAUAUGUUAAGUGUUCAGUUUUUUCGUCAGUGUUUGUUCAGUAUCUUAAGUGUCCCAUUUUAGUUCUCUUCAGUUAUUUGGUCAGCGUUUGUUCUUGUCUAUCAGUUUUAAGUUAAGUCAUUUAUUAUUCUAAUUAGUUUGGUUUCGAUUAUGCUUAUUAUUUUUGGUUAUUUUUAGUAUUCUUGUAUUUUCGGCAUUCAUUUUAAAUUUGUUAGACUUGAUACGUGUUUAUAAUUCCUGUGGUUUAAAUUAGUUAUCUGGUUGGUCUCUGUUCUUAGUUUUCCAGUAUUCUUUCUGCUAACAAAUAGUUUUUUCUUUGCCACAUAUGUAACGGGGAUGGUGUGCCCAAUCUGCAAGUCUGACUGCGUUGGCCGUCGCUCAUCGGGUUUAAAUUUUUGGGUUUGAUUGUCGGAGGACUUUGAAAGCUCAGUGGUAACUUAGUUCUGAAUAUAUUUAAUUUAUCACUAGCACUAUCACUAUAGUUCCGUUUCGAUUUUUUUAUCACUAUAGUCUAGUUCACUGUCAUGGUCAGUUAUUUAUUUUUUUUCGAGAAAACGCAAAUACUCUGCGUUUCAUUUCAUUAAAAAGGGAGAUAGUUUAGCUUUACAUGUCUCCGAGAAGGAGGCUCACCGGGAAAAAAGAAAAACAGGAAACUAGUGAACAUCCCAUGUUAGCGGCAAGAUCACCCCAAGGCCAACUGCCCCAGCCCUAGCCCAAAGGGCUGCCUCCUCUCUGAUCCUAGUCGAUAGCAGGGCAAUGGAAGGCCCUAGUCGAUAGCAGGGCAAUGGAAGGCCGC
rnacentral:lncRNA from 1 species